rnacentral:rRNA from 1 species
UACAGAGGGUGCAAGCGUUGUUCGGAUUCAUUGGGCGUAAAGGGUGCGUAGGCGGCGCGGUAAGUCGGGUGUGAAAUUUCGGAGCUUAACUCCGAAACUGCAUUCGAUACUGCGGUGCUUGAGGACUGGAGAGGAGACUGGAAUUCAUGGUGUAGCAGUGAAAUGCGUAGAGAUCAUGAGGAAGACCAGUGGCGAAGGCGGGUCUCUGGACAGUUCCUGACACUGAGGCACGAAGGCCAGGGGAGCAAACGGG